GGGUGGUUAACUCAGCUGGCUAGAGUACCUCGCUUACAUCGAGGAAGUCGCAGGUUCGAGUCCUGCACCACCCACCA
rnacentral:tRNA from 1 species